AUUGAACGCUGGCGGCAGGCCUAACACAUGCAAGUCGAACGGUAGCACAGAGAGCUUGCUCUCGGGUGACGAGUGGCGGACGGGUGAGUAAUGUCUGGGAAACUGCCUGAUGGAGGGGGAUAACUACUGGAAACGGUAGCUAAUACCGCAUAACGUCGCAAGACCAAAGAGGGGGACCUUCGGGCCUCUUGCCAUCAGAUGUGCCCAGAUGGGAUUAGCUAGUAGGUGGGGUAAUGGCUCACCUAGGCGACGAUCCCUAGCUGGUCUGAGAGGAUGACCAGCCACACUGGAACUGAGACACGGUCCAGACUCCUACGGGAGGCAGCAGUGGGGAAUAUUGCACAAUGGGCGCAAGCCUGAUGCAGCCAUGCCGCGUGUAUGAAGAAGGCCUUCGGGUUGUAAAGCACUUUCAGCGAGGAGGAAGGUGAUGAGGUUAAUAACCUCAGCAAUUGACGUUACUCGCAGAAGAAGCACCGGCUAACUCCGUGCCAGCAGCCGUGGUAAUACGGAGGGUGCAAGCGUUAAUCGGAAUUACUGGGCGUAAAGCGCACGCAGGCGGUCUGUCAAGUCGGAUGUGAAAUCCCCGGGCUCAACCUGGGAACUGCAUUCGAAACUGGCAGGCUAGAGUCUUGUAGAGGGGGGUAGAAUUCCAGGUGUAGCGGUGAAAUGCGUAGAGAUCUGGAGGAAUACCGGUGGCGAAGGCGGCCCCCUGGACAAAGACUGACGCUCAGGUGCGAAAGCGUGGGGAGCAAACAGGAUUAGAUACCCUGGUAGUCCACGCCGUAAACGAUGUCGACUUGGAGGUUGUUCCCUUGAGGAGUGGCUCCCGGAGCUAACGCGUUAAGUCGACCGCCUGGGGAGUACGGCCGCAAGGUUAAAACUCAAAUGAAUUGACGGGGGCCCGCACAAGCGGUGGAGCAUGUGGUUUAAUUCGAUGCAACGCGAAGAACCUUACCUACUCUUGACAUCCAGAGAACUUAGCAGAGAUGCUUUGGUGCCUUCGGGAACUCUGAGACAGGUGCUGCAUGGCUGUCGUCAGCUCGUGUUGUGAAAUGUUGGGUUAAGUCCCGCAACGAGCGCAACCCUUAUCCUUUGUUGCCAGCGGUUAGGCCGGGAACUCAAAGGAGACUGCCAGUGAUAAACUGGAGGAAGGUGGGGAUGACGUCAAGUCAUCAUGGCCCUUACGAGUAGGGCUACACACGUGCUACAAUGGCGCAUACAAAGAGAAGCGACCUCGCGAGAGCAAGCGGACCUCAUAAAGUGCGUCGUAGUCCGGAUUGGAGUCUGCAACUCGACUCCAUGAAGUCGGAAUCGCUAGUAAUCGUAGAUCAGAAUGCUACGGUGAAUACGUUCCCGGGCCUUGUACACACCGCCCGUCACACCAUGGGAGUGGGUUGCAAAAGAAGUAGGUAGCUUAACCUUCGGGAGGGCGCUUACCACUUUGUGAUUCAUGACUGGGGUG
rnacentral:rRNA from 1 species